AUUGAGCAAAUAUUUAUCACACACCUGUGAGCCAGGCACUGGAUAUAUCUAGGUGAAUGAACCCAAAUCUCUGUCUUCAUGGAGUUUAUAGUCUGGUGAGAGACAGACGCUAAUCAAAUAUUCAUGCAAACAAAUGCAACUUCUCUACUGGGAUAGUGCUAUAAAGUAGAGGAACAUGAUGCUCUGAGAGGGAACAUGGAGGCAGGGAGGGCUGCCCUGAGGACGUGCUAUGUGAACUGAGCCCAGAACAAGGAGUAGGCAUUAACUGGUGACAGCUGUGGUUGGUAGCUGCAGUGUUAUGCAUAAAGCAAAUUUGCAGGGCAAGGUCCAAUGAAAGGAGGCCAUGGGGUGUGUCAGAAGAAUUAGGAAUAGGUGACUGGGGCUGGAAUGCAAACAGCAGGGAACUCCAGGGAGCAGUAAGGGAUAGGGAGGCAGGCAAAUGUCAGGCCACUUAAGGCCUUGUAGAUCUAGUGAACGUUUUGGGUUUUUAACCCCUACAAUACUGGAAAGCCACUCAAGGUUUUAAACAAGGGAAGUUGAAGUGAUUUUCCCAAGUCUGGUGAGCUUCUGGUGGCAAAACCAGGACUGGCAAUCUGGGGCCCCUGUUUUGGUUUGCCACAUCUUGAUAAGCAUCCUCCCUGGCAUGCCUGCUCCCGGGGACAGACAUUAACGGACACGAAUGAGAGCAACUCGGUAGAAAGCUUCCCGUACUGGGCUUGUGCCUCUGCAGGAAGCAGGGCAGGCCUGAAUGAUGGGUCCUUGGAGGGCCUGAGAUUAGUGUCUGAGCCAGAGCUCCAGCGGGGCGGGAGACUGGAGAGGAAGCUUGCAUUGCGUUGCCUGGGAAACGCAGGAUGGAGAAAUAGAACUUAGUCAUCAAACCAGUUACCAAUGGAUGGGGUUGCCAAGGUCCUGGAAAGGGAAGGAAGACUGGCAGUAUCACACAGCGAAAGACUAGGCUGUGGUCCCUCAGGAGGUAUUCUAGAAGAAAGCAUUAUUAUUGCAGGAGAUGAGAGCUACAUGUGUAUACUAUACCCCUGAAGACAGUGGGACAAGACGUGGAGGUGGAAGACAGUGAUAUUGAUGACACUGAUCCUGUGUUAGGCCUACGCUAAGCGGUGACUGCUAACCUCAGAAGACCUCACUUCUGCUCUUGGAUGUGGCAGGGAAACCUCAAGGAUCCACAGUGAUAAUGGAUUGUGCACAGCUCUAUUUCAAACCUGGAAAUAAACGCAGGGAGUCUGACCUUAAUACAUCAAAGCGCUGGUGAGCCUACCACUGAAUAACCAUGGGAACAGGGUGAUUAAUGUGCACCACCUUAAUUACCCAGCCCAGUGCAGGGAACCAGAUUUUAAACUGGUGGAAGAUUAGUGGGGUGGGGGGGAUUCAUUUUCUGGUUAACUGAGUGCUAACUCCUUAAAUUCUUCAGAGCUGUUUACCACCUAAGUAUCCCACUUUUGAGCUUUAAAGGUUGCACACUGCCUCCUCAAGUAUGUUGUUUUAAAAAUACACAGACAUCCUAAACAUCCAACAACAAGAUUCUGCUGAACACAUUAGGAUAUAUUACAUCAAAGAAUUCCACACAGCUAUUUAAGCCCUAGUGUGGAUGUCUAUUUACUGCCAUGAAAGAUGAUCAUAGUAUUGUAAGUAAUAUUGAAGAAUAAAAAAACUGUACAUAGACUAUGAUUCCAGCCUUAUAAAAUAAUAAAAAGCCCAAUGUAUGACUAGCAAGUCUAAAAGGAUAUAUACCAGCAUAUGAACAGAGUUAUCUCAGAGUUGUACAGUGAUGAGUAUUUUGAUUCCCAUCACGUUUUUCUUACCUAUAUUUUAUAGUUUCCCAUAAUAAACAUGAAUCACUCAUAUUAUUUAAAUAGAUACUCUUUUUACUAAUAAUUGCAUGCAAUAAUAAAUAUACACAUAACCAGCAAACAACUUGCCAAAUCAUCAGUCCUGAAAGUAUAGCUUUGUAUAAAAAAAUUGCCUGAUAGAAAUUUUUCUGUAUUUGGAGAAAACUAACAUGGAGUUUAGUUCCAAAUCUGCCCCUAACUAUUAGUAUACCUUUGGCCACAGAGACCCUGGAUCCUUGGGUCUCAGUUUUACUUUUGAGUAAAAUGGGAAUAAUGCCAUUCCUCUUGCAGACCCAGAAUGAAGGUGUUCUACUUCAGGACUGUGUUUCACAAUCAAGAUGACUUUUUAAAAGUACAUACCUCAAAGAUCCAAGUAAUAAUGGAUUGCAUACAGCUCUAUUUCAAACCUGAAAAUAAAUGCGGUGAGUCUGACCUUAACCCAUCAAAGUGCUGGUGACAUCUAUCACUGAAUAAUGAUGAGACAGGAGUGAUUAAUGUGCACCACCCUAAUUAUUCAACCUGGUUGAAGGAACCAGACUUCAACCUGGUUGAAGAUGAGGGGGACUCCAUCUUCAGGCCAUUCCAGAACAAUCCAGAGCUCACAAGGAAGUACUGAGCUAAUUUUUAUGGUCUGGUUGCCAUGGUGGCUGUCUUUCCUGGACACAUGAGCUUAUGUGAUCUGACAUAGCAUGAGCUUUGUUAAUUGGAAGUCACUAAGUGAAAA